AUCUAAGUACCCCGAGGAAAAGAAAUCAACCGAGAUUCCCCCAGUAGCGGCGAGCGAACGGGGAGGAGCCCAGAGCCUGAAUCAGCAUGUGUGUUAGUGGAAGCGUCUGGAAAGGCGCGCGAUACAGGGUGACAGCCCCGUACACAAAAGCGCAUGUGCUGUGAGCUCGAUGAGUAGGGCGGGACACGUGGUAUCCUGUCUGAAUAUGGGGGGACCAUCCUCCAAGGCUAAAUACUCCUGACUGACCGAUAGUGAACCAGUACCGUGAGGGAAAGGCGAAAAGAACCCCGGCGAGGGGAGUGAAAAAGAACCUGAAACCGUGUACGUACAAGCAGUGGGAGCCCCACCACCAAAGCAUUCUCUGGUGUUGAAGGCCCUGCAAAGCAGCAUCGCGGUGGCGGAGCGUCGUUUGCGACGCCCAACACACAAAACAAGCGGUGAGUGCUUUGGGGUGGGGUGACUGCGUACCUUUUGUAUAAUGGGUCAGCGACUUAUAUUCUGUAGCAAGGUUAACCGCAUAGGGGAGCCGGAGGGAAACCGAGUCUUAACCGGGCGUUAAGUUGCAGGGUAUAGACCCGAAACCCGGUGAUCUAGCCAUGGGCAGGUUGAAGGUUGGGUAACACUAACUGGAGGACCGAACCGACUAAUGUUGAAAAAUUAGCGGAUGACCUGUGGCUGGGGGUGAAAGGCCAAUCAAACCGGGAGAUAGCUGGUUCUCCCCGAAAGCUAUUUAGGUAGCGCCUCGUGAAUUCAUCUCCGGGGGUAGAGCACUGUUUCGGCUAGGGGGCCAUCCCGGCUUACCAACCCGAUGCAAACUGCGAAUACCGGAGAAUGUUAUCACGGGAGACACACGGCGGGUGCUAACGUCCGUCGUGAAGAGGGAAACAACCCAGACCGCCAGCUAAGGUCCCAAAGUCAUGGUUAAGUGGGAAACGAUGUGGGAAGGCCCAGACAGCCAGGAUGUUGGCUUAGAAGCAGCCAUCAUUUAAAGAAAGCGUAAUAGCUCACUGGUCGAGUCGGCCUGCGCGGAAGAUGUAACGGGGCUAAACCAU
rnacentral:rRNA from 1 species